rnacentral:rRNA from 1 species
AGGGAAUCUUCCACAAUGGACGCAAGUCUGAUGGAGCAACGCCGCGUGAGUGAAGAAGGUUUUCGGACCGUAAAGCUCUGUUGUUGGUGAAGAAGGAUAGAGGUAGUAACUGGCCUUUAUUUGACGGUAAUCAACCAGAAAGUCACGGCUAACUACGUGCCAGCAGCCGCGGUAAUACGUAGGUGGCAAGCGUUGUCCGGAUUUAUUGGGCGUAAAGCGAGCGCAGGCGGAAGAAUAAGUCUGAUGUGAAAGCCCUCGGCUUAACCGAGGAAUUGCAUCGGAAACUGUUUUCUUGAGUGCAGAAGAGGAGAGUAGAACUCCAUGUGUAGCGGUGGAAUGCGUAGAUAUAUGGAAGAAUACCAGUGGCGAAGGCGGCUCUCUGGUCUGCAACUGACGCUGAGGCUCGAAAAGCAUGGGUAGCGAACAGGAUUAGAUACCCUGGUAGUCCAUGCCGUAAAACGAUGAGUGCUAAGUGUUGGGAGGCUUCCGCCUCUCAGUGCUGCAGCUAACGCAUUAAGCACUCCGCCUGGGGGAGUACGACCGC